CAGUCGAAUCAAAACUAGUAUGGACAAGGGGAAUCCAACUAUUUAAUUAAAACAAAGUAUUGCGAUGGUCCUUGCGGAUGCUGACACAAUGUGAUUUAUGCCCAGUUCUCUUCAUGUCAAAGUGAAGAAAUUCAACCAAGCCCAGGCAAACGAUGGGAGUAACUAUGACACUCUUAAGGUAGCCAAAUGCCUCGUCAUCUAAUUAGUGAUGCACAUGAAUGGAUUAACGAGAUUCCCACUAUUCCUAUCUACUAUCUAGAGAAACCACAACCAAGGGAAUGAGCUUGGCAUAAUCAACGGGGAAAGAAGACCCUGUCGAGCUUGACUCUAGUCCGACUUUGUUAAAUGACUUGAGAGGUGUAGAAUAAGUGGGAGCCAUUUUCCGUGCAAGUGAAACACCACCACUUUUAACAUUAUUUUACUUAUUCUGUGGGGCGGAGACGGGGCAUUUCCCCUAUUUUUGGUCGUAAGACAUGUUUUGAUGAGUCGAUCUAGGUGGAAGACAUUGUCAGGUGGGGAUUUUGGAUGGGGUGGCACAUAUGUUAAAAGAUAACGCAGGUGUCCUAAGAUGAGCUCAAAAAGAACAUAAAUCUCAUGUGGAACAAAAGGGUAAAAGAUCAUUUGAUUUUCCACCAACCUCUUGAUCCUUGUAAUUCAUUGAUGGAUAUGAAUUAAUACAUCAAUUAGAUGUUUGCAUGCAUCAACAUAGUUAAUUUAAAAUACUAAUUGCUUGAGU
rnacentral:ncRNA from 1 species